rnacentral:rRNA from 1 species
UACGAGGGGUGCAAGCGUUGUUCGGAAUCACUGGGCGUAAAGGGAGCGUAGGCGGAAGCGCAAGCGGACUGUACAAUACCGGGGCCCAACCCCGGACCUGCAGUUCGGACUGUGUUUCUUGGAUAGUUCAGGGGCAAGCGGAAUUCCUGGUGUAGCGGUGGAAUGCGUAGAGAUCAGGAAGAACACCGAUGGCGAAGGCAGCUUGCUGGGGAUUAAUCGACGCUGAGGCUCGAAAGUGCGGGUAGCAAAC